rnacentral:rRNA from 1 species
GAUGAACGCUGGCGGCGUGCCUAAUACAUGCAAGUCGAGCGAACAGACGAGGAGCUUGCUCCUCUGACGUUAGCGGCGGACGGGUGAGUAACACGUGGAUAACCUACCUAUAAGACUGGGAUAACUUCGGGAAACCGGAGCUAAUACCGGAUAAUAUAUUGAACCGCAUGGUUCAAUAGUGAAAGACGGUUUUGCUGUCACUUAUAGAUGGAUCCGCGCCGCAUUAGCUAGUUGGUAAGGUAACGGCUUACCAAGGCAACGAUGCGUAGCCGACCUGAGAGGGUGAUCGGCCACACUGGAACUGAGACACGGUCCAGACUCCUACGGGAGGCAGCAGUAGGGAAUCUUCCGCAAUGGGCGAAAGCUUGACGGAGCAACGCAGCGUGAGUGAUGAAGGUCUUCGGAUCGUAAAACUCUGUUAUUAGGGAAGAACAAAUGUGUAAGUAACUAUGCACGUCUUGACGGUACCUAAUCAGAAAGCCACGGCUAACUACGUG